AUGUUAGCAAUUGCCGCAUACUAUGAUUAUGAGAUAUGGCAGAUGGACGUCAAAACGGCAUUCCUUAAUGGUUAUCUUAAGGAAGAACUAUAUAUGAUGCAGCCGGAAGGUUUUGUCGAUCCUAAGAAUGCUAACAAAGUAUGCAAGCUCCAGCGAUCCAUUUAUGGGCUGGUGCAAGCAUGUCGGAGUUGGAACAUUCACUUUGAUGAGAUGAUCAAAGCGUUUGGGUUUAUGCAGACUUAUGGAGAAGCCUGCGUUUACAAGAAAGUGAGUGGGAGCUCUGUAGCAUUUCUCAUAUUAUAUGUAGAUGACAUAAUUUUGAUGGGAAAUGAUAUAGAAUUCUUGGACAGCAUUAAGGCCUACUUGAAUAAGUGUUUUUCAAUGAAGGACCUUGGAGAAGCUGCUUACAUAUUAGGCAUCAAGAUCUAUAGGGAUAGAUCGAGACGCCUCAUAGGUCUUUCACAAAGCACAUACCUUGAUAAGAUUUUGAAGAAGUUCAAAAUGGAUCAGUCCAAGAAAGGGUUCUUGCCUGUAUUGCAAGGUGUGAGAUUAAGCUCAGCUCAAUGCCCGACCACGGCAAAAGAUAAAGAAGAGAUGAGUGUCAUCCCCUAUGCCUCAGCCGUAGGAUCUAUUAUGUAUGCCAUGUUGUGUACCAGACCUGAUGUAAACCUUGUCGUAAGUUUGGUAGGAAGGUACCAAAGUAAUCUCGGCAAGGAACACUGGACAGCGGUCAAGAAUAUCCUAAAGUACCUGAAAAGUACAAAGGACAUGUUUCUCGUUUAUGGAGGUGAUGAAGAGAUCGUCGUAAAGGGUUACGUCGACGCUAGCUUCAACACAGAUCUGGAUGAC
rnacentral:rRNA from 1 species